rnacentral:lncRNA from 1 species
GCUUUGCUCAAGAGGAAUGUUUGUCUACCUGUUUCAUCCUUAUUUCUACCUGCCUGAGGAGGAAAACAACAAAAAUGCUUCAAGCAGAAGCUGUUUUUUCCCAAAAAGGGCAGGUCUUUGGGACAGUGUCCUCUGAGGAUUCAGCUGUUGUGGUCGAUUUUGUGCAGAAAACAUUCAAAAACUACAGCAACGAGGCAGCAAAGCCCCAAGAUAGAUAUUAAUUGUUCCUGUGCAGAAGUGUAAUAGCAACCAGGUUUGGAGUUAUUGAGCCUUAUGGAGUUUGACACAGUCAGCAGCCACGUUGGGUGGAAAUCUUGGAAAUGAAUUAAAUGUAACUUUUUUUUAAUAGUAAUUUAUAGGUCAUUUAAGGCUUAAUGAUCUCUAUCCAGAGCUAUUGGCUUGGAAACUCUUGGGAGGAAUACACACGCAGAGAAACAGCCCAGCCUGCUGGUUGGGGAGAAGGGCUAAAUGCCCCAAGGACAUCUGCUUGGAGUCGCAUCACGUGUUGGGCAAUAGCCUUCAGAAAAGCACAGGGUAUAUCAGUGCUGGAGGAAGAUGAUGCAAUUGAAAUUCAGCUCUUGUAGGUCCCAAGGGGGAGAAGGGAAUAAAGGUCAAGUAGUGGUGCAAGAACAAAGGACUUGUGCUCAUGUUGGAAUACAUCUCUAAAAAAUAUGGGCAGGCAGGGGGGAGAUGGAGUGUGCAUAGUGUCCAUCUGUGCUCAGUAGCACUGUCAAGUAGCAGUGAGGCAGGAAUACCAAGUGUAGGCAUGCCAAAGAUUUCAGCUCCCAAGAAAUGACUUUUUACACUUCCAUCCUCUGGGGAGAAGGAAAGAGAAAUGAGAAAGGAGGGAGGUGAAUGCGGCAACGACAGAUUGAUUUCAGCUGCUCUCUUUCUUUGCUUUCUCCCAAAGAAAAUGGAGGUGGAACAAUUCCAAAGGCAAAGCUCAGAUGGGCGCUGACACUGCUGAGAGAGACCCAAGGCACCAUGUGUACAGGUGGGACAUCAUGUCACCUUAGGACUUCUUCAAAUGCAAACAUGAUCUCUGAUGGUGGAAUCUGCUGUGAUGUCCUGAACUCUGCUGUCUUCACUUCAUACACUUCAUUACAUCCCUGGGCUCCAGCUGUCUCCCGUGGUGCAGGCACUUCUUCACCAGUGGCUCUAAGAGCCUGAUCCUUGGUCAUAGCAUCACAGAGUCACGAAGGUUGGAAAAGACCUCUAAGAUCCCCAAGCCCAACCCCAACCCAUUCCCACCGUGCCCACUGACCACAUCCCCACGGUUCUGGAACACCUCUGGGGACGGUGACUCCACCACUCCCUGGGCAGCCUGUGCCAGUGCCCAACCACUCUUUUGGAGAAGUUUUUCCUAAUAUCCAACCUGACCCUCCCCUGGUGCAACGUAAAGCCAUCACCUCUCAUCCCAUCGCUGUCACCUGGGAGACCCCCACCUCGCCACAGCUUCCUUUCAGGGAGUUGUAGAGAGCUCGAUGGCUCUGUAAAGAGCUCUAUACUACUUUGAAAGACGGAUCAGCAUCAUAAGGUACAUAAGGAUAAUAUUUGCUUUGCAAAUGCAAACUAAAAGGCUGGCUCUUGCCAUAAAGCCUGAAGCCCACCUCCUAGCAGACCCCUUCUUGCUGUGUCUUGUACCUUCCAAUGAACCGAGGUCCUGUCAGACCACCAGCCUGAGAAAACACUGGGAUCCGUGGUUGCCUGCAGUGCCUUGCCUUCCCCAUUCCUUUUUUAUUCUGAGCACAGCAUCGUUAUUAGCAAUGAAGUUUUUAUAUGUUACAGUCAGCCCAGCCGGGUCAUGAUGUGCCAUAAAUCUUUGACAAGUCAAGCGCUGCCCCUUUCUGGGUACAGUAUAUGCUUGGCCCCAUUAAGAAUAAUAGCAUGAAUAACCAUAAGCCAUUAAUUUUGACGAGAUCAGACCCAUAUCACCUU